UACGGAGGGUGCGAGCGUUGUCCGGAAUUACUGGGCGUAAAGGGCGCGUAGGCGGUGCUCUAAGUCGGAUGUGAAAACUCUGGGCUCAACCCAGAGCCUGCAUCCGAAACUGGAGUGCUAGAGUUCUGGAGGGGGUAGCGGAAUUCCUGGUGUAGCGGUGAAAUGCGUAGAUAUCAGGAGGAACACCGGUGGCGAAGGCGGCUACCUGGACAGAAACUGACGCUGAGGCGCGAAAGCCAGGGGAGCAAACGGG
rnacentral:rRNA from 1 species